rnacentral:misc_RNA from 1 species
AAUUCUCAACCCCCCUAUUUUGUAAUGGAAUAGGUUCUGUGGGCUUGGAUUAUGGCUGGCUGUCGGCUCGUCAAGAGUCGGCUCAGCUGAAAUACACGAGCGGCCCAGCUGAAACGGCGACGGCUUGACUUGGCGUAAUAACAUAUUUCGCUGAGGACGUCUACUCCAUGUUUCAAGUGGUGGUGCUUCUAAUGCAAAUUCAACUUAAGC